GCCCUGCUGGCGCAAUGGUAGCGCGCAAGACUUCUAUCUAAUAGAGAUCUUGAGGCUGUGGGUUCGACCCCCACGUAGGGCU